rnacentral:rRNA from 1 species
AAGACCUUGCACUUUUGGAGCGGCCGAUGUCUGAUUAGCUAGUUGGUGGGGUAAUGGCCUACCAAAGCUUCGAUCAGUAGCUGGUCUGAGAGGACGGCCAGCCACACUGGGACUGAGACACGGCCCAGACUCCUACGGGAGGCAGCAGUGGGGAAUUUUGGACAAUGGGCGCAAGCCUGAUCCAGCCAUGCCGCGUGAGUGAAGAAGGCCUUCGGGCUGUAAAGCUCUUUCAGCCGGGAAGAAAAGGUUGCGACUAAUAAUCGCAAUCCAUGACGGUACCGAAAGAAGAAGCACCGGCUAACUACGUGCCAGCAGCCGCGGCAAUGCGUAGGGUGCGAGCGUUAAUCGGAAUUACUGGGCGUAAAGGGUGCGCAGGCGGUUUUGUAAGUCAGAUGUGAAAUCCCCGGGCUUAACCUGGGAACU